ensembl:lncRNA
GAGGGGAGUGAAGUGAAGGCUACAAGUGUACUAUAUAGAAACCCAAUGACAUUAUAUCGAUAAGUUAGUAGUCGUUCUGUUGUCUGCUCUCUCACUCUCUCUCGCCCUCGCUCUAAACCAGAGUUUUGUUGGCCCUGCGUGUGGCACAAUGGCAUUUUCGGGGGCAUGAAAAGGCAUACUUUUAAAAACGGUUUCCAGAGUGGAGACAUUGAAACGGGGCCUGUUCCACAUUGCGUUGGGUGUGCCUGCCGGCUGCGUUGCGAUACUGCUGCGUCUCUGUUGAGGGUGUUUAUUCACACCGCCGACGUUUCUGCUACGGUGCUGCUACUCCCAGCCCUAUCUUUCUACUUUGAGUUUGCCUUUGAUAAUGGCCGUCAAUACAAAAUCAGUUUGGUAUCAUCCAUCGUUGAAAAGUAUAGACCAGAAAGUUGACCAGAUGCAACCUGAAAUCAGUCACCUGACUUUUAUUGCCCUUGUUCAGAGCGAGGGCGAGAGAGAGUGAGAGAGCAGACAACAGAACAACUACUAACUUAUCGAUAUAAUGUCAUUGGGUUUCUAUAUAGUACACUUUUAGCCUUUAUUUCACUCCCCUCUCAUAACUUGCAAUUGCUGAAAUUGCUAAAAAAUAUAUAAUAUUUAUAUUUCUGUCGUGUCUGUGACACAUAGCCCAGACAUGGAAACUGCAGUGUAAGGAGCCAAUGUAUGUAAUGUUGCUGGGUUUCCUCACCCUCACGUGAAAAAUAGGCUCCACGUCGAAACUCUACAUAACUCGUGGCUGCAGCCCAGCUCGAGCUGCACAUGAGACCCGUGUCUCAGGCAGGCAGUGCGCAUGCUCUGACCUGUUCACAUGGGCGUCAAAAUGAAAAUCAACAGGUAACGAAACACAGGCAGUGUGAAACAGGCCUUAGGCCUAUGUGGACAGAUACAAACCGAGCUUUUUGAAAAUGAUGACGACAUGGCCCAAAUUUUAUCCAAUUACCUUUCAUUUGCUGAGAAGCUUCAGGCUAAGCUCCGCCUUCCAUAUUUUUGAAAAACAUUGUUUUAAAAACGACAUCCUAGUAUUUGAACUAUGGUUAAAAAAAAUGGUCUCUGUGGUGUUCUGUGCCCUCCCUAACCUCUUAAGUGGCUAAGGCUCUAAGAAUAGCAUGAUCUUGCUCAGUUAGCAGUGGUGCAAAGUUUGUGGGGUAGCACUGGCAGAAGGGAGAAUGCACUUGGUAGAAGCCGCUCUCUCUGUCUGCCCAGAAGAUCCAUGUCAUCUGUGUCUCCGCAGUCCCCUGUCUCCCCAUACACCAACCCGGGUCCGACGCGAACCCCGCUAGAGAGGCACACUUCUUGGGUAGAGAAACCCGUCAAGCCGCUCUCUCCCUGGGAGGCUGCUGCCAGGAACCCUCUGGGACUGGUGGAUGACGCCUUUGCUUUCCAAGGCAUUCCAGAUGCAUAUGCAGCAACGCACCGCAGGCCACUUCCGGAGCCCCCGCUGGAGUGGAAGCAGAGGGUUUCAUAUGAGCCUGUGGGGUACAGCCCACUGUCACUCCAGCCCCAGCCCCAGCCUGUGGGGUACAGCCCACUGUCACUCCAGCCCCAGCCCCAGCCUGUGGCUUCCCCCUCCAGAGCAGCACCUUUUUCCCCAUCGAUGCCAACUUUCUAUGGGCCACCCUUCAGGCCAGCUCAGCCUCUCACCGCCAACACCAGGUAUCAAGGGACUGGUUCACUACAAAGGAAAAGUAGGCAUUCUCUGCCGCCUCUGCGAGUGGGAAGGGUGAUGUAAUUGAUGAUUUGAUGUAGUAAGCGUUUGUCUGGUUUGCAGUGGUCCAACUGAAAUCUGAGACAGAGCUGUCAUCACUACCACUUCACACGUCAACAGCUUUAUGAACAAAAUGGCUUAGAGUCAAAAUGAGGUGCCAUAAUUAAAAUUAGACACAGAUGUUGAAUAUGAAGUUAAUAAGCAUAACUUGUAAAAUUACACUGGUUGAGCUAUAAUUGUGCAUGAUUCCUUGUGUUCAGCACUGAUAUAAGCAAGAAUUCAGCGAGGAAUGAAUUUCAAACAGUUAAGUUGAAUGUUCAGAGUUCAGGUAAGCUAACAAUAUACAGACAGAUAAUAAGACAGGUAGAAACUGAAAACAAUUGAAAUGAGAAAACUUCAAACUUCAAGGAAUAAAUAUCACAUUUUGUUGUGUUAUUCAAAGAAAAUAGAAAUGUAUGAGACAAGCAGUGCAGCAAGGAGAAAUAAAAGGGACGUUCCUGCGAGUUCAUUGAAAGUUGAUCAUUCUUUGCUAAGUCUGUGGUUUAUGCAAACUUUUGUUUUUGAGUCAGGAUGUAUGACAGGUAAAGUAAAAAGGAAGGAUAAAGAAAAGAAUGACAGUGUUUAGCAUAAAUCAACUAUCACCCUCCAAGUUAGAGAUGGUAUAUUAACUCGUCAUCACCUUUGUCACAUUUAUGUUUAUUUACGCUCUGUUGGUUUGGUCUUUUAUAUUUAUGAUAAUCAGAGCAGAUAUUACAUUUUUCUCUUUGCUGAUCUGUGAAUGUGUUUUACAUUGCACUGUAGUUGCUGAUGCGGCUCACAUUGUAAGUUAGUUAGAUUAGUACUAUAUUGCAUAGGUAUCUUUUGCACACAAACACAUCACAUAUGGACACCAUGUGGACAUAAGCUAUUUGUAAUGUAUUGUUUGUCAUUAACACACUUGACACCUUUAGCACUGUACAUAAACAUUAAAACAACAACCUGAACUUAGUUAAAUCUAGAGAGAAAAAUAUGUUAUAAACAUGAACUAGAGAUGUGCUGAAGACCAAUGUAGAGUUGACUAUGAAGUUGAGGACUGUGAUUUUAAGGAUGUGAGAAUAUGACAUUUGUGCGUUAUAAUCUACACUAUUAAACUUUUCCAUACAUACGAUCAUGUGUGGCCUUGUCAUGAUGCCAGUGGUUUGAAAAUCAAACAGCAGUAACCCAGGCAACGUUUGUCUCAGAGGCUAUGUGCUA